CUGCCCAGUGACAACUGUUUAACGGCCGCGGUAUCCUAACCGUGCAAAGGUAGCAUAAUCACUUGCCUAUUAAUUGUAGGCUAGAAUGAACGGAUAAACGAAAUAAAAACUGUCUCAAUCAGCAAGCUAAAAAUUAACAUCUGCAUGAAGAGAUACAGAUAAAAUCGAAGGACAAGAAGACCCUAUAGAGCUUUAUUUUAAACACAGAUAAUUACUGUAUAAAAAAUUCGGUUGGGGCGACCAAGGACACUAUAAAACACCCUAUAAACAAAAGAUCUAUUAAUCAAAUAACUGACCCUUACUAAGAUCAAAAAAUCAAGCUACCUUAGGGAUAACAGGCUAAUCCUAUUUAAGAGUUCAUAUCUACAAUAGGGCUUGGCACCUCGAUGUUGGCUUAGGGUAUCAAUAUAGCGCAAAAGUUAUAUAAAGAUGGUUUGUUCAACCAGUAAUCCCCU
rnacentral:rRNA from 1 species